CAUCAUUUUCAGCCAGUCAAAAUGUCUUGGGAGAUAAGGAAAAACAAAAAGCUUCUCUGCUUUCCUGGCGCGGAGGCUGGCCUGUGAGAUCUUUGGAUGCAACCCCAGCAGAUGCUCUACCUCAAGGAUGUUCCUGCAUCUUGUGAAUAAAAGGGAGCUCAGGGAAUCAAGCCAUCCCUGCACUCUGCCAACAGGCUGUGCUGAACUAGCAGGUGUCUCCACUAAGGACCACUGGCCGGUGACCUCCUGGCAGGGAGAUUAUAAGAGAGGAGAGGAGACCAGCCCAGCCCCACGUGGGAGCGCAAGCGGGAGUGGAGCAGAGCAGCUUUGGGCACCAGCAGUCUCCUUUCUACCCUGAACUGAACUAUGUCUGCUUUGCUCAUACGCCAACUCUCCCGGCGGGCCUGAGAUACAGAAGUUGUGGACCCACACUUCAGUGCCUGCCUAGCAAACACUGUGAAGGAAGAGUGUGUGCAGUUCCGGGAUGGAGAUCUCCUCUCAUGGGUGCAUCUGAAGGCAGCUCUGUGGAAAAGAGUUCC